rnacentral:rRNA from 1 species
CUUUUACAAUGAAGAGUUUGAUCCUGGCUCAGGAUGAACGCUAGCUACAGGCUUAACACAUGCAAGUCGAGGGGCAGCAUUUUAGUUUGCUUGCAAACUGAAGAUGGCGACCGGCGCACGGGUGAGUAACACGUAUCCAACCUGCCGAUAACUCCGGGAUAGCCUUUCGAAAGAAAGAUUAAUACCGGAUGGCAUACGAAUAUCGCAUGAUAUUUUUAUUAAAGAAUUUCGGUUAUCGAUGGGGAUGCGUUCCAUUAGUUUGUUGGCGGGGUAACGGCCCACCAAGACUACGAUGGAUAGGGGUUCUGAGAGGAAGGUCCCCCACAUUGGAACUGAGACACGGUCCAAACUCCUACGGGAGGCAGCAGUGAGGAAUAUUGGUCAAUGGGCGAGAGCCUGAACCAGCCAAGUAGCGUGAAGGAUGAAGGCUCUAUGGGUCGUAAACUUCUUUUAUAUGGGAAUAAAGUUUUCCACGUGUGGAAUUUUGUAUGUACCAUAUGAAUAAGGAUCGGCUAACUCCGUGCCAGCAGCCGCGGUAAUACGGAGGAUCCGAGCGUUAUCCGGAUUUAUUGGGUUUAAAGGGAGCGUAGGUGGAUUGUUAAGUCAGUUGUGAAAGUUUGCGGCUCAACCGUAAAAUUGCAGUUGAAACUGGCAGUCUUGAGUACAGUAGAGGUGGGCGGAAUUCGUGGUGUAGCGGUGAAAUGCUUAGAUAUCACGAAGAACUCCGAUUGCGAAGGCAGCUCACUAGACUGUUACUGACACUGAUGCUCGAAAGUGUGGGUAUCAAACAGGAUUAGAUACCCUGGUAGUCCACACAGUAAACGAUGAAUACUCGCUGUUUGCGAUAUACAGUAAGCGGCCAAGCGAAAGCAUUAAGUAUUCCACCUGGGGAGUACGCCGGCAACGGUGAAACUCAAAGGAAUUGACGGGGGCCCGCACAAGCGGAGGAACAUGUGGUUUAAUUCGAUGAUACGCGAGGAACCU